CAAACUAGCCGCUGACGAGCGGCGGUACUGGGCAGAGUAAUGCAUAGGAAUCUGCCCGGUAGUGGGGGAUAACCUGGGGAAACCCAGGCUAAUACCGCAUACGUCCUACGGGAGAAAGGGGGCUUUGGCUCCCGCUAUUGGAUGAGCCUAUGUCGGAUUAGCUAGUUGGUGAGGUAAUGGCUCACCAAGGCAACGAUCCGUAGCUGGUCUGAGAGGAUGAUCAGCCACAUCGGGACUGAGACACGGCCCGAACUCCUACGGGAGGCAGCAGUGGGGAAUAUUGGACAAUGGGGGCAACCCUGAUCCAGCCAUGCCGCGUGUGUGAAGAAGGCCCUCGGGUUGUAAAGCUCUUUCAGCGAGGAAGAACGCCUAGUGGUUAAUACCCAUUAGGAAAGACAUCACUCGCAGAAGAAGCACCGGCUAACUCCGUGCCAGCAGCC
rnacentral:rRNA from 1 species